CCUCCAGCUCAUCUUCCCCGCAGGAGACGCCUUCAUUACUUAAUUAGAACAACAAUCCUCAUGGGCUUGCCUGGGAUUUGUAACUGUGCUGGAAGGAGAUUUACUGACUACAGGCACGCCCUGGGGCAAAGCUCCUUGGGAGAAUAUGGUGCAUGGAGCCCACCAGGAUCUACCUCCCCUCCUACUGAGCCAGGAGCCUCUGGGUUGCACUUGUUCCAAGUCCAUUUAAUUUUAGCCAAAACACUCCUCCUUGAAAUGUGAAGCCCUGGGUUCUAAGCCUGGAGGUGGGGAAGCAUCUUUAUAAGAAGUUAGAAUAGACUGUAAUAUACCCCUCGGUGUAGGCACCACUCACACUCCAACAGGAAGGUUCAACGUGAUUUUGCAAUACAGCUUCCAUUGAGAGUGCUAUUCAUACAUAACAACGUAUUGCUUAGCACUUGAUUCUCUCAAGGGAAAUUUUAGUGGUGGUAUUUGAGUGGGGCAAAACGGUUUUUAUGAGAAAACUUUAAUCUGCAAGCCAUAAAGGGAACAGUGGCUUUGCAUCCCAUGGAAAAUGUUCUCAGCCUCCGCUAACAUGGUUUUAUCUUCCUCUGCAGGCUGGCUUCUUAAGAUAAAUUUAUCCAGGAUUGCAUUUGGCAUAGCAGUUUGAUUUCUGUUGAUGCGAGGCUGAUUUCUCACGAGAGUAACUCCCUUAAUUUCGUACCACAGCCAGCACAGCUGCACUUUGUACUUGUAGACUUUGUUCUCGCAGUUGCAGCCCGCAGGACAUCCUUCCACUGCUCGCCUACCACAACACACCAAGGAUGUUUCUCCAGCAGCACCCCUCUGUGUUGCUAUAUGGGCCCCGGCUGCCUGCCCCAGGAGAAAAGGUUGACUUUGCUGUCCUAGCACAACAGGCAAAGGCUUGCAGGAUGCGCAGGUCCUACCCCAAGAUUCAUUUGAAGGAGUGCUCUUCAUUUUGACACAGCUUCCCCUCCUUGAGGAAUGACCUUUCCCACCCAUCCGCCUGCUCCGCUCCUCGGCCACGCUGGCUCUGCAAAUCUCAUUAAAGGACGUGUUCAUUUAC